rnacentral:rRNA from 1 species
AUAUUGCGCAAUGGCCGCAAGGCUGACGCAGCGACGCCGCGUGGGGGAUGACGCAUUUCGGUGUGUAAACCCCUGUUGCCCGGGACGAACAACUGGUUUCGACCAGUCUGACGGUACCGGGUGAGGAAGCACCGGCUAACUCCGUGCCAGCAGCCGCGGUAAUACGGGGGGUGCGAGCGUUGUCCGGAAUCACUGGGCGUAAAGGGCGCGUAGGCGGUUGGAUAAGCGUGUGGUGAAAGUCCGGGGCUCAACCCCGGAUCGGCCGUGCGAACUGUUCGACUUGAGCACUGUAGAGGCAGGUGGAAUUCCGGGUGUAGCGGUGGAAUGCGUAGAGAUCCGGAAGAACACCGGUGGCGAAGGCGGCCUGCUGGGCAGUGGCUGACGCUGAGGCGCGACAGCGUGGGGAGCAAACAGGA